AGAGUUUGAUCAGUGGCUCAGGACGAACGGCUGGCGGCGUGCUUAACACAUGCAAGUCGAACGGUAAGGCCCUUCGGGGUACACGAGUGGCGAACGGGUGAGUAACACGUGGGUGAUCUGCCCUGCACUUUGGGAUAAGCCUGGGAAACUGGGUCUAAUACCGAAUAGGACCAUGGACUUCACGGUUUGUGGUGGAAAGCUUUUGCGGUGUGGGAUGGGCCCGCGGCCUAUCAGCUUGUUGGUGGGGUAAUGGCCUACCAAGGCGACGACGGGUAGCCGGCCUGAGAGGGUGACCGGCCACACUGGGACUGAGAUACGGCCCAGACUCCUACGGGAGGCAGCAGUGGGGAAUAUUGCACAAUGGGCGCAAGCCUGAUGCAGCGACGCCGCGUGAGGGAUGACGGCCUUCGGGUUGUAAACCUCUUUCAGCACAGACGAAGCGCAAGUGACGGUAUGUGCAGAAGAAGGACCGGCCAACUACGUG
rnacentral:rRNA from 1 species